UAAGGAGUUAAAUAAUUUGUCUUUUGAAUUAAAUAUGAAAUUAUGUUUAUGUCUUAUGUUUAUAUUAUUAAAGAUCUAAAUAAAAUAUCCACCCAUGUUAAGAAGUUUAAUUCAAUUAUAAACAUAAAAAGCCAUCUGUCUCUGUUCACUAAUCAUCCUGUAGCUGUGUAAAUGAACCAUUAUACAUAUGAAAAUUUGAUAGUGUGACUUGAGGCAGAUUCAAUGUUAAUACAAAAAUUCUAAUACUUAGGCAAAACAGAACCAUAAAAUGUAGAAAGAAACCUAACAAUGCCACAGUGUGGAGAUACUUCUUAGGCUUUGAAGGCGAGUCUGUAUCUAAGAAAGUAGACUGUUGGACAGAUCUUAGGUCUUUUGUGAGGUUUUAAUCAUACUUUUAUUUUAUAAAUUGAAUUUCAAAACUCAGCUUACCUUUUUUUUUUUUUUUUUUUUUUUACCCUCAAAUAGUUCAGGUCCAACCAUUGUAUAUGAGGACUAAUGGCAAGAAAUGGCCCUUUUGUAGAUUCUUAUCCCCUCCUCACCCAUCCCUCCCUUAAACUAAAGAUCAUGUUUAAGCCCUGAAUGUUCACAUCAAGAAAAUACUGUUUAGUUUUGAGUUGUUUGUGUAAGCCAAGGUUACGCUGCACUUUUGAAUUAAAGUGCUAUACGAGUUUUCUCAAGAGCCUUAGAGGGGAAGGCUUGAACCCUCCACUUACAAAACAACUCAGGCUUUUUUUUUUUUUCUAUAGAAUCAACUCUCAGGUAUGAUGGGUUAGUCCUAAGGGUAAUGUAGUAAUGUUAAUUUUAAAAUCCACCUUUAUCUAUAUUCAACUUUGAAGGAAUAGCACUUAUUCUUUUAAACUUGUCUUCUCUUUGCUCUAGCGCAUAAAGUCAGGCAGAGAUGGCAGUGGGGGCUCCCGUGGCAAAAGAGAAGGAAGUGCUAGCGGUGAUAGUGGCCAGAACUAUAGUGCCAGUAGUAAAGGUGAACGACUAAGUGCCAGACUCAGAGCUUUACCUGGGACAAAUGAACCUUAUGAAAGUAGCAGUAACAAAGAAAUAGAUGCCUCCUAUGUGGACCCACUUGGCCCUCAAAUAGAACGACCAAAAACUGCAGCCAAGAAAAGGAUCGAUGAGGAUGAUUUUGCUGAUGAAGAAUUAGGAGAUGAUUUGCUUCCAGAAUAAUAUUCACUUUAAUAUUUAUUAAAGGAAAGAAAUUGCCUUAUGAGAUCAUCCUCAUGUUAAACCUUGGAUUAAAUAUCUAACCUGUAAUUAUUUUUUUUCACUGUCAAAACUUAAGUAAGUGUAUUCUAUUCUGUAUGUAUGCAUUUAAGUUGUUUUUUUCUUUUAAGGAAUAAAAACAGGU
rnacentral:lncRNA from 10 species